GAGAAUUUAAGAGAGUGAGAAAGAAAUCAUGACAAGUGAGGGUUUGAGGAUUCCAUGUCUGGAGUUUUCUGGAGUGGAGUUGGGAAAGAAAGAGGGUAGUGAGGAAUGGAGAGAGAUGAGCAAGAAAGUGAGGGAUGCUUGUGAGAGCCAUGGUUGCUUCAUCAUGGUUUAUGAUGAUAAGGUUUCAAAGGGUCUAAGAGAUGACAUGUUUUUAUGCAUGAAAGAGGUGUUUGAUUUGCCUGAAGAAACAAAGAAGAAGUACAUAAGCUCCAAGCCCUAUAGGGGUUACAAUAGUGAAUGUCCAUUUAUUCCUCUCAGUCAAAGUUUUGGAAUUGAUGAUGCUCCUUUACCUCAAACAUCUCAGGCCUUCACUAACCUCAUGUGGCCUCAGGGAAACCCUACUUUCUGGUAUACUAUUCAGACCUUAACUUUUCACUCCUUCAGUUACAUAUUAUCAUGCUUCAAAACGAUGAUUUAUGUUCAGAUGAGUGUAGAAAUGUUCUAUACUCUUAGUAUUAUUAAAUGUUGUUAACUAAUAAGAGAACUCUACCUGAUGCUGAGAUAUCAUUAUAACUAGUGAUAUGAAUUUCAAGAUGCCAUUAGCCAUAAAAUUAUAUAGUGCAUGACAGUUUGAAAUUGACUGUUUUUGUCAGUUUAAGUGCUUUUCAUUCUUUACGUUUAUUUAACUAUUUUUUGGUCUUUUUUUCAUAAAUUAAUUAGAACCUCUCUAUGAGCAUACCCGAGGGAUGCUUACACUAACUCGUUUUGAAAAAAACUUUUAAUUUUUCUCUUACCUUUAUGAGGUUUUCAGGAGAAGUUUUCCCUUAAAACAUCAUUUUCUUUAGAAAAAGCAAUUCAAAACAUGCACUCAACUAUUUGGUUUCAUUCUUGAUAUAGAGAGAGUUUAUUCUAUAUCUAACUCAGCUUGAUUUUUCUCAAAAGUGGUAAUAGUAAACUGAAUCGUGGCCUUUCGAGUUUAUGCCAUAAGUGAUAAAAGUUCACGUCCCAGAAUCAGUGCACUGAGAUUUCUUAUAGAAUAUUAUUAGACUUUAUUAAUUCUUAUAGAAUAUUUCUGAGAUAUAAGGGUUGUUUUAAGGCAAAACUAUUCUUAAAAACUAAGAUAUUAUAUUUAUUGUUAUGUCAAGGUAAACUGAUUUUAAACGAAAUAUUCCUUAUGAUAGAGCAUUGAUUAGUUUGAUAGAUGGGUUUAACGUGAUCUGGGGUUGGUGUCUGUUUAUGUAUGCAGUGAGACAUUGAACUCGAUGAGCUCCAAGCUGCUUGAUCUGAGUUUAGAGGUUCUGAAGAUGAUUGUGGAGGGUUAUGGGCUUCCCAAGGAAUACAGUUCGGAGAUUCAGGAGUUGCAGAGUUGUAGUAAUUUUCGUUUGAUGAAGUACAAAGUUGGCCAAAAUAGUGAAGUUUGUGAAACUGGACUGUUGCCUCACACAGACAAAAGUGCCUUAACCAUUUUGUGCGAAUUCCAAGUGGAGGGUCUAGAGGUGCUGACCAAAUCAAACCAAUGGGUUCCAGUGAAGAUACCCCAGGAGGGUUUUGUGGUCAUCGUUGGUGACGUAUUGAAGGUAUGCAUGUACAUGUUCAUGUUCAUCUCAUUUUUUUUUAUCAGCAAAGAAUGAAAUUAAAUUAAGAGGGAUACAAAAGGGUAUCCCAACCCUUUUACAUAAACCAAAUCACACUAAGAAUCUCCAAGAAAAAAGAGAUGAGCAAACACCCCAGAAACAAUAGAUAGAUAAUGUUUGCUGCAUAAGCUAGACAUCCUAUUCCAGCUAGCAUCGUGCUCGUAUUGGAAUGCUAUAAGCACUGCAAACUGCAGCUACAAAACCAUCAAAAACACCCUGCCUCUAUUGGUCUUAUUAUAAGACACAUCAAAACAGAAUCUUCCAUCAUGUCCUUAACAAUCCAUUUGACUCCCUGGCAUACAAGCACAUAUGUCCUUUCCAUUUUGCACCAGCUGCAGGCCGUGACAAACCCACCAACACCUCCAACCAACUAUAAAUCCAGUAUAGGCCGUAGUCUUAAAACUCUUGGCAUCUGGGAGUCCUAAUUAUAACUUCUAAUGCAAAGCAUUGGAUUAAGAAUCCAGUCUACGAAGGAAUAAGUAAAGGAAUGCAUCUUGUGCUUCAUCCAAAGCCAGGAUUUGAGUUGAGCCUUCUGAAACACCUCCUCCGCAUCUACUAGCCCUUUUUUUAAAUACAAUCAGGUUCCUUUGGUCCUAGAUACACCUAAUAACAGAUGCCCAAACACCUUUCCAUACCAGAUUUUGCUUCUUGCUAGCAUUGCUCAGAUAAUUGAUAUUUUGUCUUAUGAUUGAUUCACAGGCAUGGAGCAAUGGGAGACUUCAUUCUGCCACACACAGAGUUAUGAUGAAAGAAGGAAAAGAGAGAUACUCGAUUGCACUAUUUGGAGUGCCAAAAGAGGAGACGAAGAUUGAGGUGCCUGCUGAGUUGGUGGAAGACAACAUUCACCCUCUUCGUUACAGGCCAUUCACUUAUGGAGAUUACUUCAAAUACUUUGUUUCUACUCUCCAUCACAAUGCUUUAGAUGUCUUUGCUGGUGUUUCAUAAAUAGGACUAAUUGCUUUUGCAUGUGAACAUCAAUAUCUCAGUCCUAUGUCUCACUAAUAACAGUUAUGCUUUCUUGUAGUUCUCCAAUGUUGUAAACUCUUGUUUUUAAAGAUAUAAUAAAUGUUAACAUGCUUCAAUAUACGUGAUAUUCAUACUCUUUUUAUGUGAGGAUAACAUUCAAAACGUGAUGAUUUUAAGAUGCUUUGAAGUUGUUUCUAGAUUAAAAGUGAAUUUUCACAAGAGCAAUAAUGGUUCUGCUUGGUGGGAAGACAUAAAAGGAGUGUGGAGCGGGGAAUAAUGAUAACUGGUUUGAUAAUAGUAUUAGCUGAAAUGUAGGUAAUGGAUUGGAGAAAACUCUUUAACAAUAAGGUAUCCAAAGUUAUUUAAUAAUAGUGAUCAUAAGCAUGGUAAAAUCUCAAAGAUGGGGUUUGGGAGAAUGACAGGUGGAUAUGAGGUUAGGUCGGGGAGACAACGGUUUCGAUAGAAAUUACAAUCAUUAAACAAUUUUCUACAAGAGAUAGAAAAUCAUAAACAUUUAAAAGAUGGGAGUGAUAAUUGGAAGUGGAAAUAGUGCAACAAGAAAAUCUCGAAAUAGAAAUCAAUUUUUAGAAACCAAAAUAAUUAGUUGCAAUAGUAAUUAAAUUAGAGACCAUUUUAGAAACUAAAAAAAAAAAAUUGGUUUCUAUUAUUGUUAAAUAGUUUCUAAAUUAAUAUCUAAUUAGCAACCAAGUUUUUAACUACCAAUUAUUUAGUUUCUAAAUUUGGUAGCAAAAACCUUGUUUGCUAAUUAGAUACUAAUUUAGAAACUAUUUAACAAUAAUAGAAACUAAUUUAGAAACCAUUUUUUUUAGUUUCUAAAAUUGUUUCUAAUUUAGUUACUAUUGCAACUAAUUAUUUUGGUCUCUAAAAUUUAGUUUCUAUUUCAUGAUUUUCUUGUAGUGGAAGGAAGCUAUAUUGUCAUAUCAACUUACAAAAAUAUAAAUAAAAAUGAUAUAAGGAGGAAAUAUUUGAAUUUUAUACUAUGAUUUGGAAAGUAAAAGUAAUCCUUAAAGCCGCUCAGAUGUUGAGAUUGAAUAGGUAGCCACAAAGGGCAAUCUUAAGAAAAAAGAUAUACCUAUAGUCCUCAACUUGUUGUGUUAUGUGUAGGUUAGAAAAGGAAUCUAUGAAUCAAAGUAGCAUGUUCUGUUUGGAACAUGUAUUAUAAAUGGAUUUUGAAGAAUUUGGUGUGUCUCAUAGAACAAUUUUUUUUCAUUUUAGAGAAUGAGAAACUUAAACACAUAAAAAAAAAUGAUUUGGAAAGUUGUUUUUUUUUUAUUGACAAAAAAAGAAUGAAUUAAAAUGAAGAUAUUUCAGACAUAGCUCAAUCCUUAUACAAAAACAACAACGUCCUUUAGCCUACCACUCAUGUUGUGAGUUUUAAAGAAGACAACACGAGACAUGUAAACACGACGUCUAUCCUUAUCUAUCUACAAAAAUAUAAUCUCUAACUUGAAACAAUCUUGCUCAAGUUACGUGGGUGAUAAUGGUGAGAAGUAUUUAAAACAAAAGGACUAAGAGCAUAAGCAUGAAUAACAAACAAAAUUUCAAAGACAAUUUUUUCAUAUUCGGGCUGGUGCAUGUGUCCUAUAACAUGUAUCCGAAGUAUAAAAAAAUAAUAUUUUUGGGCUAGCAGAAGUGGGUACUUCGAGGGUAAGGCAACAUGGGAUGGACUUUAGGUGCUGAAAGGUUAAUUGUAUUUAAACAGUUGUUUAGGCUUUUGAGCAGUACACAAAUUUGUUGGGAGUUUUGUUGGGUAUGAAGUCAGGACCAAUUGGGUUGGGCUGACUAGACACCAUGUUUAGUGAGUGGGCUUAAUCAUUGUGUCCCUUUUAUAAUCUCUAUUUAAAGAGAUCAUUGUACUUGUAAUUUGGUGUGCAAUAGGAUAGAAUGAAAACCUAAUAGUUGCCCGUGUGGAUGUAGGUUGUAGUUGGUGACCGAACCACGUUAAAUCUUGUGUUGUUUAUUUUCUGCAGUUGAUUAGUGAUUAUGUGCGUUGCUUCCGCAUGCGUGUUUCCUAUCAAGUGGCAUCAGAGCUUGGUACAUUUACACAGUAGAAAUCCGAUCAGCAGAAUUAAUCGACGAGACUUGAAAAUUGCGGUUGCAGCAGCGUCCCAAAGCUAGGGUUUCACAAGGGCUGCAGUAGCAUCUCAAAGCUAGGGUUUCACAGAGGCGGCAACAGUGUCCCAAAGUUAGGGUUCACAAGGACUGCAGUAGUGUCCCAAAGUUAGGGUUUCGCAGAGGCGGCAUCAGCAUCCCAAAGUUAGGGUUUCAUAGAGGCUGCAGUGAUGUCUCAAAGUUAGGGUUUCACGGUGGCCCAAGAUUCGCACAACCCAGAUCUGCGACUCGCGACAGGUGCACGCAGUAAGUAGUGAGACGUGUAGUGGUGUGGGUCGCGGCAGGAGUGGUGGCGGCUCGUGACGUUGUGCAGGUGGCUUGCUCAGAGUAGGGUCGUGUCCAGGCAGUGCGACAAAGUGCGCCAGUAAGGCGGCGGAUCGUGUUUCACGACGAACAGGUGUAGGUGCUUGCGGUAAGCGAGAUGACACGGAGGUACAGUGCAAUGACAGUGACGAAAGACGUAGGGUGGUGCGUGCAUUUUUUUGCUAGUGUAGCAGUGACUGUGUAGUGCUAAGCGCGGGGUGUGGCUGCUUUUUGCUACGACACGAAGUUAAGACAAUUCAGUUACUGAGAACAUUACUAAAAUGAAUUCGAUCUUAGCCAGACUUAUGUCAGUGGGCAUUAAGUUCGAUGAUGAAGUUCAAGCUUUACUACUGAUAUCGUCAUUACCUGACAGUUGGUCCAGAUCGGUUACAGCAGUUACCAGUUUAGCGGGACCCGAUGGAUUCACUUUAGAGAAGAUUUGUGAUCUCAUUCUUGGCAAGGGCGUCAGAAGAAGGAGUUUUGAGAAUUAUCUAGUGAAUCACUAAAUGCCAUCAGAGGUAAGAGAAAUAUCAGAGGUAGUGGGAGCAAGACUAGAAGAAGGAGUCUUUGGAAAGGUAAGACUAUAAGACAAUAAAACUUUUGAUGUUACGGGCAUGAGUGACAUAGUGUUGAAGACGCCAGUCGGUUUCUGGACUUUGAAGGAUGUCAGAGUUGUUCCAAGCUUAACGAAAAGUUUGAUUUUUGUUAGGCAGUUGGACGAACAGGGACAUGAUGUGAAGUUCGUUCGGAAAUCAAUAGUGAAAAUUCGUCAAGGGAAAUAUUGUCAUGGCCCGCGGAAGAAAGAGAGGUUCGUUGUAUAUGGUCGGCUUACCAUCUGAGGGAGUGAUUGUCCUAGUUCGGAAGAUAAACAAAGUCAGGUUCACAGAAUCUCAUGGGCAAAAGAGGGUUGUCUUUACAAGAGAGAAACUCAGAGCCACAGGUCAGAUUCAGAAUGAACGAGCAUGGAAAGGUUCAGGUAGACCAAUCAGUGGUACUUAUGGCAGUGGGAGCACGGGUCGUGCUUCAACUGAGGUUCCUAGAUGAUAGGGGUUAGGAGAACCAGUAUUCCAUCUGUUGAAACAUCUCUAGAAAAUUUCUUGUUGCGUAUGAAGUAUGUUUGUUCUCAGGCUAUUCCAGGAUCCGGUAGUUCGUGUAAGUGGGAGCCGAUAGGAACAGAGGAUGGAUCAGUGGCAGUUUCAGUCAUGACGAACAUGUUGAAACUCAGGGGAGUUUCAAUGAAGUCUUCAAGAUGAUUAAGAAGGCUAGUAGCAACUAGAGGUGGAACAUUGAGUUCCGUCGACAGAUUACAGAAAUACAUGUACACAGUUGAAGCGCAAGUGAACAUUGUUCUGUGACUUCAAGUGGGAGAUUGUUGGGUAUGAAGUCAAGACCAAUUGGGUUGGGCUGACUAGACACCAUGUUUAAUGAGUGGGCUUAAUUAUUGUACACAGUUGAAGCGCAUGUAAACAUUUUUCUGUGGCUUCAAGUGGGAGAUUGUUGGGUAUGAAGCCAUGACCAAUUGGGUUGGAUUGACUAGACACCAUGUUUAGUGAGUGAGCUUAAUCAUUGUGUCCCUUUUAUAAUCUCUAUUUAAAGAGAUCAUUGUACUUGUAAUUGGUGUGCAACAGGAUAGAAUGAAAACCUAAUAGUUGCCCGUGUGGAUGUAGGUUGUAGUUGGCGACCGAACCACGUUAAAUCCUGUGUUGUUUAUUUUCUGCAGUUGAUUCGUGAUUAUGUGUGUUGCUUCCGCGUGCGUUUUUCCCAUCAAGUUUCCCUUUUUCUAUAUGUACAAAGGUACUGAUUGGUUCUUUUUCUUAAUUGCAGGGAUGAAUAGAUCAAAACAGAAGAGUCAUCCAUCAUGCAGGAAAAUUUUGCAUAAUACAAUGUCUAAGUGAUGGAAACCUGUGAUGACGACAAUGUGCCUUGAUGAUUUAAUCAUGAAGGAGUUCUACUUUUGUUUUUAUUGGUUGAUCAUUUAAUAAGGUGAUGCUUGACAAUGUCACAGAGAUAACAUCUUUUCUUUGAGAAUUGUCAUAAGGAUGAAAAUUUAGUCAUGUUGGGAAAGGACAAACAAUAGGUUGUGUAAUUGUACAAACUUUACGAGAAUCCGUCCUUGUUUUGUUCUUUUUCUUCUUCCUUUCUCCGUUAACUCAUUCUCUCGGUUACUCGUGUUUUUGAAAUUAUUUUCCGGUCUCUCAGUAUGAGGUGUUGUAUAGGUAGGAAUUCUCCGAAGCUUAAGUCAAUAUUUUGUAUUAAUAACUCAUUAAAAAAAUUAAACUACUAAACUAAAUACUCUAUCUAUUUAUACUACUUGUUAAUAGGCUUAUUGGGUCUGUAACAUCACAUUAAAAUUUCUACUUAUCGUUUAUUAAUUGAUUUCCAACACUUAGUUAAUUUCAUUUGUCUUUUGUACAUGUCUCUUAUUAAAAGUGACACAUAUAUAUUUUUUCACGCAAGAUUUUCACUAACUUUGUUCUUGUUCUUUACUUCUUUCGACUUCUCGACUUUAUGACCUUUGGACAUAUCCUUCCGGUAUGACCGGUAUGAUGACUAGUUGUUGUCUGUUAUUUUUUAAGGAUGAACAUUUUGUGAACAUAAUUAUAUGUAAGUGUCUCUUUAUAAAUGAAUUGAAAUAAUCCAAAUAUCCUUUUAUAUAUUUAUAUAUUUUUUUUACACUUUUUUCUCAAACUUAUUAAUAUAAUAGAUUGAGCCUCCAGAAAAUGUGGAGGAAGAGAAAAGAUGGAAGGAGUUUUAGAUAUUAAUUGAAAUGGAAAAAUACUAAGCUUCACAUAUUUGUUGUUUUUCAAAAAUGUACCUGAGUGGAGAGAUGGGGCCCAGGCACGGUCGGUUGACGUAGUGUAAUUGCUGACGUGUCGAUCUUCUUCUCCUUCGGUCGAUCGUUCCUUCUUGGUGUCUCCUUCGGUCGGGCGGGAGAGGGUACCUACCGGUACACUUGCCUCCCAGGCUCGAGGUGAAUAAAUGUCGAAGAGUCAUAAUGAUUGUUGUGCCUUUCGAGGUGUCAGGCAUUAAAUGUAACAGAAUGACAGGACGUUCGCUUUUUGUCGAAGACGGCGGAGAUGGAUCCGGCGGUGUGGAUUAAGUGACGCUUCGACUUCCGGCUAAUAUAGGUCGUAGGAUGAACGGGAAUCUAACGGAUGAGGGUGAGAGGGAAAUGCUAUAAAUAGCGUCUCCAGUUGCAGAGAGACCACGUUUCCUUGAGUUCGGCAUCCGAGUUGCUCCGAUUGCCGAGUCCACAUUGCGAGUUGUUGCGCUGUACGAACCAUAGUUGCCGACCGGGGUGUUAAUUUGUGAAUGAAAGGUUAGUUAUGUCUCAACUUUCUUCAAAUAGGGUAGGUAGUAGAGAGUCGAGUGCGAGUGGGGAGUCAUUGUCCGGAAGUGACGAAAGUACGAGUGGGCCAAUGGGUCCGAGCUAUGAGUGGGUAGAUAUUAGCGUUAGGAAUAUACCCACUGUUUUUAGGAAACCGGACGACCUGGAUAAAGUGAUAGCUAGGGCCCCUGUCGUGCGGUCGGGUUUACCUUCAGAUAUUCUAAUUGCCGAAAUAUGUGGGUAUACCGACCGUGUCUGUCAUGGAAGGGAGAACGCUCCGGUAGAUUUCUUUUAUGUUUAUAGUACGUUAUUUGCUGAUUUGAAAGUGACGUUGCCGUUCGAUGAGUUCACGAUGGACGUGCUACGGUUUCUCAACCUAGCUCCAACCCAACUUCAUCCGAACUCAUGGGCGUGCAUGCAGGCCUUCCGAAUGGUGUGUCAACUUUUUGACUUGACGCCCAGAGCGGAAGUGUUUUUAUUUUAUUAUAACACACAUUCGUCCAACCCGGUAAGUUGGGUGUCAUUGACCAGCCGUCCGGGGAGUGUGCGUUUUGUGGCCUUCACCACGUCCUACAAGAACUUCAAGAAACGAUAUUUCAAGAUAUUUGUGGAGCCGGACGAUCGAGAGUAUUUUUAUAAUGAUGAUGUUACCAAGUUUCCGUUCCAUUGGACCUAGAAUCCGACUGUGCUUAACACGAGUUCUCGUACGGCCCUGUCGGCUUUGGAUAAGGCCGUUAUGGUGGUGUUUGACCAACUCCCUCACAAGUUACCUACGAGGGAGAUAAUUUCGUUAUAUGCGUCGUCCGAUCCCUGGGCGGAUUUUAUUGGUAUGUGAUUGUAAAUUUGGUUUGAUUGAAUAACUUCAUUAAUAGUGUUUAAUUCCUGUGUGUUUUGCAGAAAUCCUGAGUCGGGCUGACGCUUCUUUGCAUGAGUAUAUGAACAAGUUGCGCCAGAGUAUGGAUGGUCAGUCGGCCUCUGUCGACACGGCCGGGGCGUUGGCGGCCGUUCCGUCUACAACGGUUCCUGCGGCGGGGGCCUCGGCUGCUGCGAAGAAAAGGGGUCGACUCCCGAAGGGAAAUCAGGAGGGCCGAGCUGGGCCAUCCCGAACGACCUCUGAGCCAACGCUGUUGGCGGUCGGCCUGGACAUAGCGGCCCACCUGCAGGCGGAGCUGACCUCCGAAGAGAAUGAGAUUUUUGCCACCAUCCCUACAACUAAACUGAUGGUGGAAACAUUAGAGUUACAAAGCCGGGCACUUAUGGCAAGCCGAAUGGUGGUUGAAGAGCUCAAGAGAGUGACGACCGUUACCAUACCCCGGUUAAAGAAAGAUGUGACCGAGGCCACUCAAGCCACCAAGGUGUCGACCGAGAAGGCAGAGAGGUUGAAGGUCCAGUUGGAGGAGAAGCAGACGGCUUUGAAAGCGCAAGAGGAACUCAACAAGAGUCUUGAGGCGCAACUGAAAGGAGGAGCCGACCGGGAGGAGGCUUUGAAAGCGGAAGUGGCCAAGUGUCACGACUUCAUGCUUCGCAUUAGCGAAGAAUACUUCCGGUUGGGCAUCCAACAAGUGGCUUGUCUGCACGGUGCGCCGCUGGAGGACGACCGGUAUGACAUUGAGAAAAUGGUGGUCGAUGGAAAACUUGUGCCGACCAACCCUGGCGACAUUAAUGAGGAAGCUGAGACGGAGACUCCGGGACCACAGCCGGACGCCUCGUUUGAAGAAUUAAUGAAUAUCCCAUAGAAAAUUGCUGGACUCGGCAUGUGGGCAUCGUACAAUGAUGGUUUUAGUUUGGAUGUAAUAUUUGAUUGCUGAUCGACCGGAUUGGUAUUUUUGAACCUUGUUUGUUUGUUGUAAGUAGAUUUUAUUAAUUUGGAUGCUGGACGAGGCGUAGUUGAUUUCGUUAGUAAUAAUUCGAAUGCCGAACGAGGUCUGGAUGAUUCUGGUUAUGUGAAAAGUAAUAAGUUAAUCCUGAUGUCGAACGAGGCAUAAAUAAUUGCAAUUUCGUUAAAGUAAUAAGUUAAUUCUGAUGCCGAACAAGGCAUAAAUAAUUCUGAAUAAUUCUGAUGCCGAACGAGGCAUAAAUAAUUCCGAAUAAUUCUGAUGCCGAACGAGGCAUAAAUAAUUCCGAAUAAUUCUGAUGCCGAACGAGGCAUAAAUAAUUCUGAUGUCGAACGAGGCAUAAAUAAUUUCGAUUACGUUAAAGUAAUAAGUUAAUUCUGAUGCCGAACAAGGCAUAAAUAAUUCCGAAUAAUUCUGAUGCCGAACGAGGCAUAAAUAAUUCCGAUUACGUUAAAGUAAUAAGUUAAUUCUGAUGCCAAACAAGGCAUAAAUAAUUGAAUAAUUCUGAUGCCGAACGAGGCAUAAAUAAUUCCGAUUAUGUUAGAUAAUUCUGAGGCCGAACAAGGCAUAGAUUGAGAGAAAUAAAAGGAAUAGGAGACUUGGAUUUUAAUUUAUAGUGCCUCGUUAAAACCUUCUCGGUCGUAAACCCUCCUUAGGGAAAAACCGACCGAGCGAGGAAAGAGUACACUUUUAUUAUUAAGUUCAACUGUAAUAAAAUUUGAGAUGCGUGGCAUUCCACGUUCUUGGUAUGUCCUUCCCAGAUAAAUGUUCUAAGUAAUAGGCUCCACUGGCUGCCGUAUUUGCUAUGCGGAAUGGUCCUUCCCAAUUGCUAGAGAACUUGCCUCCUUCCUUCCGGGUGCUACUCCGUAUUCGCCAUACUAAGUCUCCUUUGUGGAACAGUCUCAGUUUGACCUUGGAGUUGUAUCGUCCGGCCGCCCGAAUUUUGCAUGCUUCUUCUCUAAUUCUACACUUGUCCCGAAGUUCGUUGAUGAGAUCGAGACCGACCGAGAGACUUUCCUUGUUUAGAUCAAGAUCAAGGGUUUGUCGACGGAGAGAAGGUUCUCCAAUCUCGACGGGAAUCAUAGCUUCAGUGCCAUAUGUUAGGUUGUACGGCGUUUCUUGUGCAGUCGUCUGAGGAGUACAGCGAUAUGCCCAUAAGACCUCUAAGAGUUCUUCAGUCCAGUUACCCUUUGCUGGGCCGAGACGUUUCUUCAGUUCGUUCAGGAUGACCUUAUUUGCAGCUUUAGCUUGUCCGUUUGUUUGCGGAUGUUCGACUGAACUGGCGAUGUGUUUGAUGUGGAGUUUCUCGUAAAAUUCAGCUAACGUUCGGUCGGUUAAUUGCUGACCGUUAUCGGUGAUGAUGAUCUGUGGAAGCCCGAAGCGGCAAACAAUAUUUUUCCAUACGAAAUUUUGAACAUUGCGGGCGGUGAUUGCAGUCAGAGGCUCGGCUUCGAUCCACUUGGUGAAGUAAUCAAUGCCGACCAGUAAGAAUUUACACUGGCCUUUCCCGGGGGCGAAGGGGCCAAUGAUGUCCAUACCCCAUUGGGCGAACGGCCAAGGUGAUAACAUAAAAUGAAGUUCUUCAGGUUUUUGAUGUGACAAAGUGCCAAACUCUUGGCAUUUAAGGCAUUUUUGGACGAAAUUGGUGCAGUCGCCUUAGACGGUCGGCCAGUAGUAUCCGGCCCGGAAUACUUUGGCAGCCAUUGUUCGCGCGCCGGAGUGAGUUCUGCAAAUUCCUUCGUGCAACUCUCGGACGACAUAGGAAGCUUGGUCGGGUGUCAAACAUUUAAGGAGUGGUCGGGUAUAACCUCGGCGGUAAAGGUCGUCACCAAUUAAGACGAAACGGGCGGCCUGCAGCUUCAUGGUUUUUUCACCGAGAGGAUUACAUGUGCCGUCGAGUAAAUAUUGCUUAAUUGGGGUAAUCCAAGUAGAUUCCGCGUCGGUCGUUAGGCAUUCUUGUAGGUCGAUGCUUGGGCGUGCAAGCGUAACAUGGAUGACCGACCUAUGCAUUCCCUUACACUUCGUAGUUGCCAACCGUGACAAGGCGUCUGCGCGAAUAUUGUGAUCGCGUCGAACGUGUUGCAUGGAAAUUUCAGGAAAGGUGCUCAUCAACUGUUUGACUAAGUGAUAGUAUCGCUGUAGAAAGCUUUCUCGGACUUCAUAUUCGUCUUUAAGCUGGUCGAUGACUAGCCUGGAAUCACUUUUACAAAUUAACUUUGUGAUUUCCAAUUCUUGAGCGAGGCGUAGACCGGCUAAAAUGGCUUCAUAUUCAGCCUGAUUGUUUGAAGCUUUGAAGUCGAAUUUGAGGGCUUGCUCGAUGACAAUCUCGUCGGGGCCUUCCAAAACGACUCCAGGGCCGCACGACCUUUCGUUGGAGGAGCCGUCCACUUAUAAGAUCCACGAUGAGUGUUCAGUCUCGGCUGAGGAAGGAGUGAGUUCAGCUGCGAAAUCGGCAAGAGCUUGCGACUUGAUGGCUCCUCGUGGUUGGUACUGAAUAUGGAAUUCGGAUAAUUCUAUCGUCCAUCCGAUCAUUCGUCCGGCUAAAUCUGGUUUAGUGAGAAUCUUUACAAUGGGGUAAAUUGUCCGAACAAUAAUACGGUGAUUUUGAAAAUACAUACGCAUUCGUCGGGCGAUAAUGAUGAGAGCCAUAGCCACCUUUUCGAUCGUUUGGUAUCGGAUUUCGGCGCCAUGGAGGGCGCGACUAACGAAAUAAACUGGUCGUUCUUCAAAGUUAAUUUCUUGCACUAAGACUGAACUGACGGCUUCGUGUGAAACGGCGAGGUAGACUAUGAUGGGCUCUCGGGCGUCUGGUUUCUGAAUGACCGGCGGGGAAGAUAGAAAAGUUUUCAAUUGGAGGAAAAUUUCCUCGCAUUCGGCCGACCACUCAAAGUGAGACGCUUUUUUCAAUAAUCGGACGAUGGGUCUCGUUCGUUCUGCAAGUUUAGGAACAAAUCUGGAUAAGGCGGUGAACCGGCCGAUAAGUCUCUGAAUUUCCUGAAUGGAGUUGGGGCUUCUCAUUUCGGAAAUAGCUUUACAUUUCUCAGGGUUAGCUUCUAUGCCUCUAUGGGUGAGCAUAAAACCUAAGAACUUCCCCCCCUCGACGCCAAACGCACAUUUGUCAAGAUUGAGUCGCAUCUGGUGCUGGCGGAGGGCCUGAAAAACUUCUUUCAGGUCAGCAAUAUGUUGCUUACAUGAGACGGACUUGACAACAAUGUCAUCGACAUAGACCUCAACAUUCUUGCCGAUCAUGUCGUGGAAUACAUGGUCCAUUAGUCUUUGAUAAGUGGCCCCGACAUUUUUGAGUCCGAAGGGCAUAACUUCAUAGUAGAAAUUAUCGGAAUCAGUCAUGAAGACUGUCUUCUUUCGGUCGGCCGGGUGCAUUUGGAUUUGAUUAUAACUUGAGUAGGCAUCAAGGUAGCUGAGGAUGUGAUGUCCGGCCGCCCCAUCAACGAGACGAUCAAUGGUAGGCAGAGGGUAAGAGUCUUUUGGGCAUGCCUUAUUGAGGUCCGUGUAGUCAACGCACAUUCGCCAUUUUCCGUUCGCUUUCUUUACCAUAACCACGUUGGCUAGCCAUGUGGUGUAAUGGGCUUUCCGAAUGAAUCCAGCUUGUAACAAUUUAUCGGCUUCGUCACGUGCGGCUUGACGUCGUUCCUCGCCUAGAUGUCUUUUCUUUUGAGUUAUUGGCCUAGCCUUUUUAUACAGUGAUAAUCGGUGGGUGAUAACUUGUGGGUCUACGCCAGGCAUAUCAGCGGCCGUCCAUGCGAACAGAUCAGCAUUUUUAACAAGUGUCGUGCUUAUGGCCAUUCGGUCGUCCGGCUUCAGCGAAGUGCCGAUAUGUGUAGCGUGGCGAUCAUCGCGAAGUGGGAACGGAUGCAAGUCUUCUCCUGCCUCCAUACGGGUAUCGUCCAUACGAGGGUCGAGAUCGACAAGGGCUAUCAUCUGUCGACGGGACAUGCGCCGUCCGGAAUGUCGGGUCGGGGAUCGUCCUCUUUUUUGCGGAGGUCGGUCGUCCGGAUUGGUCGUGUAGAGCCGUCGAGUUGGCUCACUUUUCAAACUUGCGACAUAACAUUCUCUAGCGGUUUUUUGAUCGACAUGGAUUGUUGCAAUGUCGUUAUUUGCCGAAGGGAAUUUCAUGGCUAAGUGUGGGGUGGAAACAAUGGCUUUUAAUUUGUUGAUGGACGGACGACCGAACAGGAUGUUGUAGGAAGUUUGGGCGUUGACCAGAAGAUAUCGCACGUUUAUUGUUUUGUGGAGACCGUCUUCCUCACCAAAGGUUGUAUAUAAGUCUAUAUAUCCCUUAGUGUCGACCCGUUCACCUGAGAACCCUACAAUUUGUUCGUUAUAGGGUUGAAUAUCUGAUUCUGGGAUGCACAUUUUCUUGAAGAUUUCCCAGUAUAAUAUGUCGACCGAGCUACCUUGGUCGACCAAAGUCUUGGCAAUUGCGAACUUGUCAAUUUCCACGGUGAUUACCAUAGGGUCGUCCUGGGCUGGAUCUAUGGCUGUGAAGUCGUCGUCAGUGAAAGUGAUCGGAGGUAUGUGUGGACGCCUCCUCGUGGUAGCAUGAGCGGACUGGAUGUCCCGGAGAUGUUUCUUUCGGGCGGAAUUUGAGCACCCGCCACCGGCAAAGCCCCCGGCUAUGUAAUUUGCUUCGUGGUUCGGUUCGCCCAAGGUAACGGGUCCAACAAUCAUGUUGAUGACUUCGCGGACUCGUUGGCGAGGGCGGGCGUUUCGGUUGGGACUUGUGUUGCGGGCACGUGUACGCCGAACGGGGCUUUCACUGCGUUUCCGCGAAGCCUGGCUAUGGUCAGUUCGGCGUUUGUAAUCGUUACGGUAUGACCGGUCGACACCACGGGAUGGACGGUCGGUACUCCGUGGUGGGGAUCUUGAAUUCCUUGUCCUCUUGACGAACUGCUGCAAGUGGCCAGCCUGGAUGAGCUCUUCGAUUUUGUCCUUCAACACUUGACAUCCUUCGGUCGUGUGACCAAAAUUCCGAUGGUACUGACAACGCUUAGCAGUAUCUGCAUUCGGUGGUGUUUGAUACUGUUUUAGUGUCGGAAUUAAAUCCGUUUGCAGUGCUUCAUCUAGGGCUCGUCCCCUCGGAACAGUUAAAAGGGUGUAACUGUUGAACCUGGGGAUUCGGCCUCCUCUGUUCCGGUCGGACCUUGGGGUGGUUCGAACGGUCCGUUCGGUCUCGAAUUCCCUUUCUUUGCUCGGGGUUUGAUCUUUGAGGACUCCAGAUCCGACGACUUUGAACCGUUGGUGAUAGUCAAUGUGUUUCUCAAUUUGCAUGAAUUUGGUUGCCCGAGUUCGAAGAUCUUCCAUGUCUUGAGGCACCUUUUUGAUGAGACUUUCGGUAAAACGACUCGGCCGGAUGGCCGAAACCAAAUGGUGUAACGCGACUUCCUGUUUGAGCCCUCGGAUAUUCAUGCAUGCCUUGUUGAAUCUAUCUAAAAAGGUUCUGAGAGAUUCACCUUUUUCUUGUUGUACCGCUAGGAGAGACAUGGAGGACAUGUGAUGCGGUCGGCUGGUGGCAUAUUGAGUGGAGAAUUUCGUGGCUAGGAUGUCAAAGUCGUCAAUGGAGUUCGGAGGUAGCUCUGUAAACCAGGUAAGAGGUUCUCCCUGAAGCGACGUGGGGAAUACUUUACACCACACAUUAUUAUCUGUGGUAUACAAAGUCAUUUGCGUCUUGUAAACAUUUAAAUGCUCGUCCGGGUCGGUCGAGCCAUCAUAGAGUUUAAUGGCGAGGCCUCUCCAUUUGUCAGGAAGUGGUGUGGUGAUGAUUUCAUCUGUAAAAGGAUGACCCCUUUUACUUGACUUUCUUUCGACUGUUUCAGCUCUGGAAGCAGGAUUGGUGUCGGCCGGUGUAGGUAUGCGAGAGGCGGUUCGGUCGGCCAUAUGGGAUUGGCCUUCUCGUUCGGGAUUAUCGACCUGUCGCUGGAGUCGUGCAUUCUGCUCUCUCAAUAAGGCGAUUUCUUCCUCUUGGUGGCGUCUAUUCUCUUCGUGUUGACGACGGUCUUCUAUCCCCUUUUGCCGCAGUUCUUCCAUCUGAGUUUGGAGGGUUUGAAUCAUAGCCAUCUGUUCUGCCAUAGUGUCGUUGUUGUUCCUUGUCGCAACCAUUAUAGCUUUAAAAAUUGAGAUUUUGCCUCGGUCCCACAGUGGACGCCAAUUGUACCUGAGUGGAGAGAUGGGGCCCAGGCACGGUCGGUUGACGUAGUGUAACUGCUGACGUGUCGAUCUUCUUCUCCUUCGGUCGGUCGUUCCUUCUUGGUGUCUCCUUCGGUCGGGCGGGGGAGGGUACCUGCGAAGGCACUCCGACGCUCAAGUAAGUAUGAGAUUCUAAGUGUGGUUUAGCAAGUGAAUGAAAACGUACCUUUCUCUGACUUGAGCACAGUAUUUAUAGGAUUGCCUAAUGGGCUUUCUAUCCCUUGGGCUCAGGGUGGUUAUGGGGAUAGGUCUUACCAAUCGUGCUCCGGAAUACCCGGGGAACAUAUCUUCUUUAGACGCGUAUUCCUUAUUCUUCGGAGGUGUAUCUUUAACCACUUUAUCUUGUUACAUAAAUACUCUAUUUAUUAUGUACUCGGUCGGUCGGCCACGUCCGUCCGGUAUCUACCGGUACAAAAAAACAUAAAAACUAAAUUGAGAGGAAUGGUUGAAGCUUACAAUAUAAGUAUUAGUAGUGUUUAAAAGAAUCAUAUUUUCGAUAUAGUUUAUUAUUUCAAACGAGACAUUACUUUCUUUUAUGAGUAUUCUUUUAGUUCCUCCAAAAACAACUCAAGAGCCUUAAUAUAAUUCUACACUGCUCGCUAAAAUAUAAAUUUGUUUUCAAGAUUGUUGCAAUACCAUUUUCUUAAUUCAUUAUCUUUUAAAAUGAUCAAAGGGUUUGGGAAUGGAAUAAACAAAGUUAAAAGUGAGUUUAUCUUAAUUUUUUCAAAUAACUUGCUAAUAAAAUAACAUAAAUCCACCAUUUGACGUUUUUGUAAAAUAAUUAUAAGUAAAAUAAUUAUUUUUUUAACUGAAUGCAUGACCUUAAAAUCAUUAUUAUUAGCAUAGAAUAUUUUUUUUAUUAAUCAUCCUUUUUUAUGAAUUUCAAUCUUUAUAUUUAUUUGAAUAUUUUUUUGAAUUUAAAGUAAAUGAAAACUAUUUUUUCUUAUAAUGUUUUGAUUAAGUAAUUAAUAAUACUAUCAUGAAUACAUAAUUUUAAAUUUCAUAAUCUAUUAUAAAUAAAUUGAGUAGUUAAUCAAUCAAUGAGUUAUGAGUCUUCUAUUUUUCCUCACCAUUGAUCAAAUUUUCAAUUUUAUAAUGCUUUUCAAAUGUAAUUGAAUUUAAUAGUUUUCUUGGUGUAAUUACAUGUAAUAUAUUUAAUAAUAUUUUUAAUAUUUUUUCCAUUUUUCAUUUUUCAUUUUUCAUUUUUCAUGUGCAUAUUUACAAUAAUAAAUUAUAUGUAAAAUCUAUUUCGAAGGGUUGUAAUGCAUCAUUCAUAGCUCUAGUACAAAAGUAAAGGGAUCCCUCUAAGCUAGAACAAUAUACACCCAUCUCUCUAGUGUGGGCUAUAUACAAAGUCAUAUCAAAGGUGUUGGCUAGCAGAAUAAAGAAAGUGCUAAUCUCAGUUAUUGAUGAAAGCCAGUCAGCAUUCUUAAAGGACAGAGGGAUGCUAGAUAGCGUGCUUAUGGCUAAUGAAGUGGCAGAGGUCCUUAGGAGGUAUGGGAGGAGCGAACUAUGCUUGAAGGUGGAUUUUGAAAAAGUCUACGACUCGUUUAGGUGGGAUUUCCUAUAUGAUAUGCUUCAUAGGAUGGGUUUCCACAGUAAGUGGAUUAUGUGGAUUCAAGGUUGUCUAGAAUCUGCUACAGUUUCUGUGUUAGUUAAUGAGAGUCUUACGGAGGAAUUCAAACCAACAAAAGGCUUGAGGCAGGGUGAUCCUUUAGCUCAUUUUCUCUUUAUUGUGGUAGCUGAAGGCUUAGUCGGGUUAGUAAGACAAGCUAAUAAUGUCAGUUUGUUGUCAGGUAUCAAGAUUGGAAGAAAUGAGGUAGAGUUCAGUAUCCUGCAAUUUGCAGAUGACACUCUAUUUUUAUGUGAGGAGUCUCACAGCAAUGUGGUAAUUAUGAAGGCUAUUCUAAGAGGCUUUGAGCUAGCCUCAUGCUUGAAGAUUAAUUUUCAUAAAUCCAAGCUAGCAGGCGUAAAUGUUGAUAGAAACGCUAUGGUAUGCUAUGCAAAGACUUUGAACUGCGCCCAGACGAGAGUUCCUUUUAAGUAUUUGGGUUUAGAAGUGGGAGGGGACACAAUGAAUAGUAAGUUUUGGGAGCCUGUACUAAACAAAUUAAAAGCUAGACUCAAUGUAUGGAAAUGAAGAUUCUUAUCCAUGGCAGGGAGAAUAUGUCUAAUCAAAUCAGUUAUCACUGCUGUGUCGCUUUUCUACCUCUCCCUUUUCAAAGCGCCAGAUUCUAUCUGCAAAAGCAUAAUCAGUAUACAACGGAGGUUUCUAUGGGAAUGGGGGAUGGAGAAGAGGCCAAUUUCAUGGGUAAGUUGGGAAGACUUGUGUAAAUCAAAAGAGGAGGGUGAUUUGGGUUUUAGAGACAUGCGGAAGUUCAACUAUGCCCUACUGGCCAAAUAGAUGGCGCCUUGUAUCUGAAGAGAAAGGGAGGUGAAAGAAGUUGUUGGACUUAAAGUAUGGGAUGGAUUUAGAAAGUCCACAAACACCAAUGAAAUUCCAUACCUGGUGGUGGAAAGACUUACAUAAAGUAUGUAGAAAGGGAAGAGGAGCAGGUUGGUUCCAACAACAAUUAGUAUGGAAAUUAGGAGGUGGAGACAAAGCUAGAUUUUGGGAGGAUGUGUGGGUUAACAAUAUUAACCUCAAAACUCUUUACCCCAGGUUGUUCUCACUUUCCUUAAACCAGGGUCAAAAGGUGGAAGAGGUUGGUGCAUGAGAAGAAUUAGUAUGGCGAUGAAAUUUAAGGUGGAGGUGUGUUAGAUUUGAGUGAGAAUCCUUGAUGGAAGCAAAUCUUGUUUUGCACAUAUCUCGGGCCAACAUGUCAAGGGAAGAGAAAGAUGUUCAAGUGUGGGGUGUGAAGAAUUAGGGUUGUUCUCUGUGAAUUCAGCAUAUAAAUACCUAGCUAAGCAUGUCAGAAGUCCUCAUCAUGAUGUGUUUAAGUACCCAUGGAAGGCCAAAGCAUUUCCCAAUGUCAUAACCACAACAUGAAGGGUACUUUUGGGUAGAAUCCCAACAAGAUAGUGUUUGAGCACGAGAGGGGUGAUGCUAAAUACAACUUUAUGUGCAUUGUGUGAGAUUAAGGAUGAAUCAUGCCAACAUAUUUUCUUAGAAUGCAAAUUUGCUCAAAGUGUUUGGUCGUUGUGCUUUAAAUGGAUUGGUAUCUCGUUUGUACAGCACAAAGAUCUUUUGACUCACUUUGAGAACUUCCAUUUGUCCCAAGUUAGCAGUAAGCAAAAUCUUCCGUGGAAAGGUGUAUGGGCAACUAUAGUGAGGUGUAUCUGGGAGCAAAGGAAUUCUAUUGUUUUCAAGCAAGGGGUAAUAGAUGCGGAAGAAAUUUUUCAAAUGGUCCAACUCAAGUCAUGGCUGUGGUUAAAGCAUAGAGUCACUCUUUCAGCUACUCCUGUGUAGAUUGGGUACAACCCACUUAUCUGUAUUAGAAGCUAUAAGUAAAUGGUUGUUAGUUGGUGUGUCCAAGGGACCCUGCAGAAGUGGAAGGAUUUGCUGGCAUAUCUGAGUUAACGUCACAGGGCCUUGUGCUCAAAUCUAACUUAGGUAUAAUAGGGAGUUAUAAGCGGGGGAAGUGUAGAAGAGCAGGAAGCGUAAAUCGAAGGAUGUUGGGGGAGGUGUUUGGUAUAUGUUGUUGCUUAGGAGUGUCAAUAGCUAAGCCUUAUUAGCGUAGGGACCAAGCUGUUUGACUGUCAAACAAUUUUUUAGAACAAUGGGAAAUCCUUUAUGCUGGAGGCCUGGAGUUUCAGCAGAGUGAUGCACAAAUACAAUUGUACAUUGGUUGAUGUCCCAAUCUGUAGAGGUUUGGUUGUGGGUUAUCUGCUUGCUGUCAAGUGUGGAAAAGGUGUUGUCAAAGGCUUGAUAUGCUUCCAGCUGAACCAUCUAGGUGGUAUAGCAGAACCACAACGAAGGCAUGCUAUGCAGGAGUUGGUGCUGAAGGGAGGAUGGUAUAAAAUAUUUGUUCUGAACUGGAAUUGAUACAGAUAUAUUCUAAGCACCCUUGGUUCUGGGUAUGAUGUGGAAGAGGGGUGAAAACUUGUAUAAAUGGGAUCAUGUGAAGGUGUAGAGGAAUUUUGGAAGGAAGAAAAAAAUGAUAGUCAUUACCACCUCGAAUAUUUUGUAUAAGGGCUGAGACAUUGUUAAAAAAACAUAAUUGAUGGAACAAGAAUUAUGUGAUAAAGUUUAAAUCUUAUAAAUAUAGUGGUACAUAAAUCAUCUCUGAAAUUGACAGAAGAUAAAAUAAUACACAAGAAUGGUCCUCUCAAGCCUGCAAUAUUAAGGCACAAAGACAGUAAUACUCCACAACCAUGAGGUAGGAGGCAUGUUCUUGAGAAAUGGUUACAUAGACAUUGUUACAGGGGAGUCAUGUUCUUGGAAAAAUUUAUUGAGGAUGCACAUGAAGCUUGUGUUGCUUGAGUGCAAGAAAUAGUGUAUAUAUAGUCGCAUGGUAUUGUCUUAGACAUCACUUUCAAGGAUUAGGAAGAUAAAGAGCAUAUCAUACCCCACCUUCUGAUAUAAUGUCCAACAGAUUUACGUACUUGAAAACAAAUACAUCAUCAAAGGUUGUGAAACCUAAGCUUAUUCAUUUGUCAUUGUUUUCUAGCUAUUUCAGUUUAUAUAUGCAGACAUGCUUUAGACAUAGCCCAUGUUUAAUGAAAUAAGAUGCUAAUGAUGUUGAUAAUUAUCUACCAUGUGUCAACCAGAAUUGAGCUAUCGAUCGAUGAGGAUUAUUUUAGAAACCAAAAUUAUUUUUAGUCUCCAAAAUGAUGAUAGUCUCUAAUUUGAUCAUUAUAACAACUAAUUAUUUUUUAUAUAUAAAAUUAGUUUCUAUUUAAUGAUUUUUUUGGAUAUGCAUGUUAUAAAUGUUAAGCUAGAGGAAGUAAGUUAUUUGUUCUAAGAGGUAUGAUGACACAUAAAUCUACUCACAAUUACUUUCCCAUUAGUGUAAUUUGCUUUUGAAAAAAAUGAGAAUGAUCUUCUAAGAAUCUAAGAGAGAAUAUUUAGAGAGUUCAAUAUCUAAUGAGAAGAAGUUUUAGUUGAAAUGAAAAAUUAUUUUUUCUAAACCUAUUUACAAAAAAAUUCAAAUAAAUUAAACUAUUUUUUCUAAACUUAUUUAUAAACUUCUUCAUUUAACUUAAACCAAAUUCUCUAUCUUGAAAAGUGGGCCUUACAUGCUUUACUUCCAUUAAAUAAGUUUCCGAAUUAGUCAUUAAUUCAAUUUUCAAAAUUAAAAAACAAUGUUUUAGUUAUUUUAAUUUUUUAUUCUAAUUACUUUAAUAACUAACUCUUUAUCAUUAAUUCAAUCUCCAAAAAUAUAUAUUUUAUUACAGUGUGUAAGUAGUUUCAAAUGAAAUUUAGUUUAAUUCUUAAAUUGUACACCUGUACAUAAAUUUCUUCAGAGCAAGGAAGGGUUUAAAUAAACUUUUUAUAAGUAUUUUUUUAGAAGAAAAAAAUAUUAACUACAGUGAACAAAUAAUAAUGAUCUAUGUAUGACCACACGAUAUAGAUCUUCCCCCACAACUCUCUCUAAAUACCAAACCUUGAGCAAGAACUUUACAACAAAGACAUAGAAAGACAGAAUUUUAGAGAGUGAGAAAGAAAUCAUGACAAGUGAUCAGGGUUUGAGGAUUCCAUGUCUGGAUUUUUCUGGAGUGGAGUUGGGAAUGAAAGAGGGUAGUGAGGAAUGGAGAGAGAUGAGCAAGAAAGUGAGGGAUGCUUGUGAGAGCCAUGGUUGCUUCAUC
rnacentral:lncRNA from 1 species